rnacentral:rRNA from 1 species
AUGGGGUUGCUCAAGGAGGGGAGCCUGAAGCUGAGCAGCCACCAGGUGGUGCCGCUCUUCCUCGGGGCAGCUCUGCCCACGAUCCUCCUCUUCGUCUUGGCCUCCGACCGGCUGGACGAGCAGCUGUCCAGCGUCUCCGGCAGCUGGCUGGGGAACAGCAACGGUGGAACUCCGGGGACGGCUCCUGCACUGCUACCGAAACGUGAGGAGGAGAAAUUCACAGGGCUCGCAGAGCUACUAACCAAGGUAGCGACCGAUGACGGGACGGUGAUCAUCACAUCAGUGAACGAGGCGUGGGCGCGGCCAGGCUCCCUCCUUGACCUCUUCCUCGCGGGCUUCAAGAACGGCAAGGGUAUAGCGCACCUCCUCAAUCACACUCUCAUUGUCGCUGUCGAUCGAGACGCCUUGGCCCAUUGCGAGGUUGUGCACCCACAUUGCUACCUCUACGAGGUCAGCUCCGCCAACGUCAGCUCCGCCAACCGCUUCAUGUCCAAAAGCUACCUCGAGCUCGUGUGGGCCAAACUCGGGGUCCCGGAGCGUGUCCUCCAGCUUGGCUACAACUAUCUCUUCACCGAUGUGGAUAUCUUGUGGCUGCGCAACCCGUUCCGGCACAUCAACCUCUACGCCGACAUGGCGAUCUCGACCGACGGUUUCGAAGGUAAUGCCGAGGCCCUAACAAAUGUGGGAAACACCGGCUUCUACUACGUUAGGUCGACGAACAGGACGGUGGAGAUGCUAAAGCGCUGGCGGGCAGUGAGGUCACGGUUCCCCUCCACCCACGACCAAGGAGUGCUAAACGAGAUCAAGGCCGAGCUCGCGGCCGGUGACCUACAAAUCAAGUUUGUGUUCCUUGACACAGUGAUCUUUGGCGGUUUCUGCCAGUUCCACGGAGAGAUGGACAAGGUAUGUACGAUGCACGCCAUCUGCUGCAUCGGGCUCGAGAACAAGGUGCAUGACCUUAGGAACCUGGCCGCUGACUGGAAGAACUACACGAGCCUGGCACCAACGGAGAAGAGGAGUGGCAGACGUAGGUGGACAUCCCCCAACCGGUGCAAGGCGUCGAUGAGAAAACAGUGA